rnacentral:ncRNA from 1 species
CCUGUGGAGUGUUACACCAAACGCAAGUAGCUCAGGCAAAAGCGGACACGUUGAAGCAGGAA